GGAUUCCCUUAGUAACUGCGAGUGAACAGGGAUCAGCCCAGCACCGAAGCCUGUGGUUAUUUGACUGCAAGGCAAUGUGGUGUUUAGGUUUGUUCUUGGCAUUACUGCUCUGCCCCAAGUCCAGCAAUGAGUACGGCUUACCGUUCUGGCCCAUAGAGGGUGAAAGGCCCGUGGGGGUAGAGACCAAGCAUGACAGUUUUGUCCAGAGCUUACCUUGGAGUCGGGUUGUUUGAGAAUGCAGCCCAAAGCGGGUGGUAAACUCCAUCCAAGGCUAAAUACUUACACGAGUCCGAUAGUAAACAAGUACCGUGAGGGAAAGUUGAAAAGUACUUUGAAGAGAGAGUAAACAGUGCGUGAAACCGCUCAGAGGUAAACGGGUGGAGUUGAACUGCGAUCCUUGGGAAUUCAGCUGAUGAGCAUGAUUUGUGCUUGAGCAUAUUGGCCGCCUUUCAGUGUCUGUCUAAUAACAGGUACCUGCCUACAGGUGGGUAUGUGUGGUGCGCUUAUCAUGUGCCGCACGCAUUGGAGGGUGUAUGGGUCUGCUUGUCAGUGCACUUUCUCAGGGUGUUCACCACGACCGGCACUGCUGUCUGUCUGCUGUAGUCGAACUGAUCAGGUCUGACUCACGUUGGGCUUGGUUGGGUUGGCAGGUGACUCACUGGUCCAUUCUGUGGGCUAUGAGUGUUACUAGCCGGCUAUGGUGGAUCUGUACGGUGUGUCGGAGACGGCGGAUUGGCGUGCGCGCUCUGUCCUUCAGGCGUGGUUGAGUCUGGUCGACUUGUUGCUAGUUUCGGCUGGUCAGUUGAUGGCUUGAUCAUGUUCAGUUGGCAGCUGUGUGUGUGUCUUAUACCGACAGUCUG
rnacentral:rRNA from 1 species